rnacentral:rRNA from 1 species
GAACGCUGGCGGUAGGCCUAACACAUGCAAGUCGAACGGCGGCACAGUAAGAGCUUGCUCUUACGGGUGGCGAGUGGCGGACGGGUGAGGAAUACAUCGGAAUCUACUUUUUCGUGGGGGAUAACGUAGGGAAACUUACGCUAAUACCGCAUACGACCUACGGGUGAAAGCAGGGGAUCUUCGGACCUUGCGCGAUUGAAUGAGCCGAUGUCGGAUUAGCUAGUUGGCGGGGUAAAGGCCCACCAAGGCGACGAUCCGUAGCUGGUCUGAGAGGAUGAUCAGCCACACUGGAACUGAGACACGGUCCAGACUCCUACGGGAGGCAGCAGUGGGGAAUAUUGGACAAUGGGCGCAAGCCUGAUCCAGCCAUACCGCGUGGGUGAAGAAGGCCUUCGGGUUGUAAAGCCCUUUUGUUGGGAAAGAAAAGCAGCAGGUUAAUACCCCGCUGUUCUGACGGUACCCAAAGAAUAAGCACCGGCUAACUUCGUG